rnacentral:rRNA from 1 species
AAAACUUUCAACAACGGAUCCCUUGGUUCUGGCAUCGAUGAAAGAACGCAGCGAAAAUGCGAUAAGUAAUGUGAAUUGCAGAAUUCAGUGAAUCAUCGAAUCUUUGAACGCACAUUGCGCCCUCUGGUAUUCCGGAGGGCAUGCCUGUUCGAGCGUCAUUUC